CGCGUAGGCGGUUAACUAAGUCAGAUGUGAAAGCCUUGGGCUUAACCUGAGAACUGCAUUUGAUACUGGUUGACUAGAGAUCGAGAGAGGAAAGUGGAAUUACGAGUGUAGAGGUGAAAUUCGUAGAUAUUCGUAAGAACACCAGUGGCGAAGGCGACUUUCUGGCUCGAUAAUGACGCUAAGGCGCGAAGCGUGGGGAGCAAACA
rnacentral:rRNA from 1 species